CUGUUCCCCUUCCCCAAUUCCCCAAGAAAAUCUUAAAAAAUAUAAUAAUAAUAAUAAAGUGGCAACCUAAUGUAAGAGCUACCUUGUCGAGGAUUCUGGGAAGUGUAGUCCUAGAGCACCAGGUAGUAAGCCACUUUCGCUCUCAAAGGGUGGAGCUGUAGCCCUUGUUUUCUCUGGGAUUCUGGGAAGUGUGGUUCAGAAGGGGUGUAUAGUCCAGGCACUUCAGCUACAGGAGAGCGACUCAGUUGCUGGGGUCAAGACUUUCUAGGAGGUCUGUCUUCACAUGACUCUGGCCUUCCCCAGACAAAAGAGGAGAAAAUGACCAAGUGCCAGCAUGAAAGCUCUCCCAAUGAAAGGCACC